AACGAACGCUGGCGGCAUGCCUAACACAUGCAAGUCGAACGAGACCUUCGGGUCUAGUGGCGCACGGGUGCGUAACGCGUGGGAACCUGCCCUUAGGUUCGGAAUAACUCCCCGAAAGGGGUGCUAAUACCGGAUAAUGUCUUCGGACCAAAGAUUUAUCGCCUUUGGAUGGGCCCGCGUUGGAUUAGCUAGUUGGUAGGGUAAAAGCCUACCAAGGCGACGAUCCAUAGCUGGUCUGAGAGGAUGAUCAGCCACACUGGGACUGAGACACGGCCCAGACUCCUACGGGAAGCAGCAGUGGGGAAUAGUGGACAAUGGGCGAAAGCCUGAUCCAGCAAGGCCGCGUGAGUGAUGAAGGCCUUAGGGUUGUAAAGCUCUUUUACCCGGGAUGAUAAUGACAGUACCGGGAGAAUAAGCGCCGGCUAACUCCGUG
rnacentral:rRNA from 1 species